AUACGGAGGGUGCGAGCGUUAAUCGGAAUUACUGGGCGUAAAGGGCGCGUAGGUGGUUUGGUCAGUCGGAUGAGAAAGCCCCGGGCUCAACUUGGGAAUUGCAUUCGAUACUGCCUCACUAGAGUAUGGUAGAGGGAAGCGGAAUUCCCGGUGUAGCGGUGAAAUGCGUAGAUAUCGGAAGGAACACCAGUGGCGAAGGCGACUCUCUGGACCAAAACUGACGCUGAGGUGCGAAAGCGUGGGUAGCAAACAGGAUUAGAUACCCCAGUAGUCC
rnacentral:rRNA from 1 species